AUGGACUUCGCCAAACCUACUGUUGCGAAUCAUAAGUUAAGGCAUGAGCAGGCGCCGGCGCGGACGCUGGGGGAGUCGCUGGCACACGAACCCCGUCACAAAAUCUGGAUGGUGGCCGUCUUCCUGCAGAUCGUGUGGCCUGCCGUCAUCACGGCUUGUCUAUACGGCCUCGUAUCGCUACAGGGGCUGGGCUUUCGCUCCUUCUUCCGCGGCGCGCCGUGGCGGUUGCCUCUGGCGCUCUCGUACGGCUUCUACUGGUCGCUGCUCUACCUCAUCAGGUUCUACGCGGAGCUGUUCCUGCCGCGCACGCCGGAAGCAGUCGCCGACAAGCUCGUCAACGUAGGAAGCGGCGUCGGCGUAUGCAUCAGUGUCAUUGUGAUCCCCGUGCUGGCGUGCGGCGUCAAGGACGGCCGCGUGCUGGCCGGGUGCACCGCCUUGGUGGGUGUGAUCAUUGUCGGCCUCGCCGCGUUUUGGGUGUGGCUUGCUCGCACAUACGGCGGAGAUGGCGACUUGUCGGAGGGGUCUACUACGCUGCCACCAGCAGAAGCACUAGAAGAAGGGCUGCAGCAUCCUGUUCCACCACGCCUACCUGUAUAG
rnacentral:rRNA from 1 species